rnacentral:rRNA from 1 species
GACGAACGCUGGCGGCGUGCUUAACACAUGCAAGUCGAACGGUAAGGCCCUUCGGGGUACACGAGUGGCGAACGGGUGAGUAACACGUGGGUGAUCUGCCCUGCACUUCGGGAUGAGCCUGGGAAACUGGGUCUAAUACCGGAUAGGACUCCUGGCUUCAUGGUUGGGGGUGGAAAGCUUUUGCGGUGUGGGAUGGGCCCGCGGCCUAUCAGCUUGUUGGUGGGGUAAUGGCCUACCAAGGCGACGACGGGUAGCCGGCCUGAGAGGGUGACCGGUCACACUGGGACGGAGAUACGGCCCAGACUCCUACGGGAGGCAGCAGUGGGGAAUAUCGCACAAUGGGCGCAAGCCUGAUGCAGCGACGCCGCGUGAGGGAUGACGGCCUUCGGGUUGUAAACCUCUUUCAGCUAUGACGAAGCGCAAGUGACGGUAGUAGCAGAAGAAGGACCGGCCAACUACGUGCAAGCCGCCGCCGUAA